rnacentral:tRNA from 1 species
GGCAUGGUGGCGCAUUGGUUAGCGCUCUUGCCUAGAAAGAGGGAGUUCCUGGGGUCGAGUCCACUGUGGCU